rnacentral:rRNA from 1 species
UUGGGAAUCUUGCACAAUGGGGGAAACCCUGAUGCAGCGACGCCGCGUGGAGGAUGACGGGUCUAGGCCUGUAAACUCCUUUUAUCAGGAAAGACUUAGGACGGUACCUGAUGAAUAAGCCCCGGCUAACUACGUGCCAGCAGCCGCGGUAAUACGUAGGGGACGAGCGUUGUCCGGAUUUACUGGGCGUAAAGGGCGCGUAGGCGGUCAUUUAAGUCAGCUGUGAAAUGGUUUGGCUUAACCGGAUCAUGCGGUUGAAACUGGAUGACUGGAGUGCUGGAGAGGCAAGUGGAAUUCCCAGUGUAGCGGUGAAAUGCGUAGAUUUUGGGAAGAACACCGGUGGCGAGGGCGACUUGCUGGCCAGCAACUGACGCUGAGGCGCGAAAGCCAGGGGAGCAAACG